rnacentral:rRNA from 1 species
UCGAGCGGACAGAAGGGAGCUUGCUCCCGGAUGUUAGCGGCGGACGGGUGAGUAACACGUGGGUAACCUGCCUGUAAGACUGGGAUAACUCCGGGAAACCGGAGCUAAUACCGGAUAGUUCCUUGAACCGCAUGGUUCAAGGAUGAAAGACGGUUUCGGCUGUCACUUACAGAUGGACCCGCGGCGCAUUAGCUAGUUGGUGAGGUAACGGCUCACCAAGGCGACGAUGCGUAGCCGACCUGAGAGGGUGAUCGGCCACACUGGGACUGAGACACGGCCCAGACUCCUACGGGAGGCAGCAGUAGGGAAUCUUCCGCAAUGGACGAAAGUCUGACGGAGCAACGCCGCGUGAGUGAUGAAGGUUUUCGGAUCGUAAAGCUCUGUUGUUAGGGAAGAACAAGUGCAAGAGUAACUGCUUGCACCUUGACGGUACCUAACCAGAAAGCCACGGCUAACUACGUGCCAGCAGCCGCGGUAAUACGUAGGUGGCAAGCGUUGUCCGGAAUUAUUGGGCGUAAAGGGCUCGCAGGCGGUUUCUUAAGUCUGAUGUGAAAGCCCCCGGCUCAACCGGGGAGGGUCAUUGGAAACUGGGAAACUUGAGUGCAGAAGAGGAGAGUGGAAUUCCACGUGUAGCGGUGAAAUGCGUAGAGAUGUGGAGGAACACCAGUGGCGAAGGCGACUCUCUGGUCUGUAACUGACGCUGAGGAGCGAAAGCGUGGGGAGCGAACAGGAUUAGAUACCCUGGUAGUCCACGCC